rnacentral:rRNA from 1 species
GUUUGAUCCUGGCUCAGGAUGAACGCUAGCGGCAGGCUUAAUACAUGCAAGUCGAACGGGAUUCGGGGUAGCAAUACUUUGAUGAGAGUGGCGCACGGGUGCGUAACGCGUAUGCAACCUACCUUUAACAGGGGAAUAGCCCCGAGAAAUCGGGAUUAAUACUCCGUAACAUUGCGGUGUGGCAUCACACUGCACUUAAAGCUGAGGCGGUUAAAGAUGGGCAUGCGUGACAUUAGCUAGUUGGUGAGGUAACGGCUCACCAAGGCAACGAUGUCUAGGGGUCCUGAGAGGGUUAUCCCCCACACUGGUACUGAGACACGGACCAGACUCCUACGGGAGGCAGCAGUAAGGAAUAUUGGUCAAUGGGCGCAAGCCUGAACCAGCCAUGCCGCGUGCAGGAAGACGGCCCUAUGGGUUGUAAACUGCUUUUGUCAGGGAAUAAACCCCCGCUCGUGAGCGGGGCUGAAGGUACCUGAAGAAUAAGCAUCGGCUAACUCCGUGCCAGCAGCCGCGGUAAUACGGAGGAUGCAAGCGUUAUCCGGAUUCAUUGGGUUUAAAGGGUGCGCAGGCGGAUUGGUAAGUCAGGGGUGAAAUCCCACAGCUCAACUGUGGAACUGCCUUUGAUACUGUCAGUCUAGAGUAUAGUUGAAGUUGGCGGAAUGUGUCAUGUAGCGGUGAAAUGCUUAGAUAUGACACAGAACACCGAUCGCGAAGGCAGCUAGCUAAGCUAUAACUGACGCUCAUGCACGAAAGCGUGGGGAUCAAACAGGAUUAGAUACCCUGGUAGUCCACGCUGUAAACGAUGAUUACUCGAUGUUGGCGAUACACAGUCAGCGUCUGAGCGAAAGCAAUAAGUAAUCCACCUGGGGAGUACGAUCGCAAGAUUGAAACUCAAAGGAAUUGACGGGGGCCCGCACAAGCGGAGGAGCAUGUG